rnacentral:rRNA from 1 species
UCCUACGGGAGGCAGCAGUAGGGAAUUUUCGUCAAUGGGCGCAAGCCUGAACGAGCAAUGCCGCGUGAACGAGGAAGGUCUUCGGAUCGUAAAGUUCUGUUGAAGGGGAAAAAGAGCGGAGAGAGGAAAUGGUCUCCGAUUGAUAUUACCCUUCGAGGAAGUCACGGCUAACUACGUGCCAGCAGCCGCGGUAAUACGUAGGUGGCGAGCGUUAUCCGGAGUGAUUGGGCGUAAAGGGUGCGUAGGCGGCCUGCUAAGUCUGGAGCGAAAGGUACCGGCUCAACCGGUACAGGCUCUGGAAACUG